UGCAGUCGACGAGAAAUCCCUUCGGGGGUGAGUACAGUGGCGCACGGGUGAGGAACGCGUAGGUAAUCUACCCUUUGGCGGGGGACAACAUUCCGAAAGGAAUGCUAAUACCGCGUAAGACCACGUUCACUACGGUGAGAGUGGUAAAAGGUGCCUCAAAGCACCACCAAAGGAUGAGCCUGCGUCCCAUCAGCUUGUUGGUAAGGUAAUGGCUUACCAAGGCUAAGGCGGGUAGCUGGUCUGAGAGGAUGAUCAGCCACACUGGCACUGGAACACGGGCCAGACUCCUACGGGAGGCAGCAGUGAGGAAUAUUGGGCAAUGGGCGAAAGCCUGACCCAGCCACGCCGCGUGUGUGGAUGAAGGCCUUCGGGUCGUAAAGCACUGUGGGGAGAAGACGAAACAGCGCGGCCAGGAAAUGGGGUGCGCCUUGACGGUACCUCCUUAGCAAGCACCGGGCUAACUCUGUGCCAGCAGCCGCGGUAAUACG
rnacentral:rRNA from 1 species